rnacentral:rRNA from 1 species
CCCUUAGAUGUUCUGGGCCGCACGCGUGCUACACUGAGUGGAUCAGCGGGUCAGGUUGCGCGAAAGCGUUUCCUAAUCUUUAAAUCCGCUCGUGAUGGGGAUUGACGGUUGCAAUUUUCUGUCAUGAACGAGGAAUACCUUGUAAGCGCGGGUCAUCAUCCCGCGCUGAAUACCUCCCUGCCCUUUGUACACACCGCCCGUCGCUCCUACCGAUUGAGUGGUCCGGUGAGGCUUUGGGAUCUGAGCGGAAAGAGCGUUUCGCUGUUUCUGCUCGGAAAACUCAGUCGAACCUUAUCAUUUAGAGGAAGGAGAAGUCGUAACA